CGAUCGAUGCCAUCGAUGGACUGUCGGUCGACUAACCAAUCGAUCGAUUGCCGGUCGAUGGCAUCGGUCG
rnacentral:pre_miRNA from 1 species